AGAUGUGAGGGCGAUCUGGCUGCGACAUCUGUCACCCCACUGAUCGCCAGGGUUGAUUCGGCUGAUCUGGCUGGCUAGGCGGGUGUCCCCUUCCUCCCUCACUGCUCCAUGUGCAUCCCUCCCAAAACUGCAUGCUCGGUCAAAGAGGAUGACCAUCCCCGAUAGAAGAGGACCCGUCUUCAGUCAAGGGUAUACGAGUAGCUGUGCUCCCCUGCCAGAACCUCCAAACAAGCUCUCAAGGUCCAAUGGGUAGAGCUUUGAGUAUCACCUGAUCAUCCACUUUAUGUAGAAGGAAAAGU
rnacentral:snRNA from 1 species